rnacentral:rRNA from 1 species
CCUACGGGUGGCAGCAGUGAGGAAUAUUGGUCAAUGGGCGGAAGCCUGAACCAGCCAAGUCGCGUGAGGGAAUAAGGCCCUACGGGUCGUCAACCUCUUUUGCCGGGGAGCAAGGGCCGGGACGCGUCCCGGCCCGGAGAGUACCCGGAGAAAAAGCAUCGGCUAACUCCGUGCCAGCAGCCGCGGUAAUACGGAGGAUGCGAGCGUUAUCCGGAUUUAUUGGGCGUAAAGGGUGCGUAGAUGGCAUAGUAAGUCUUUUGUAAAAAUGCUGGGCUCAACCCAGUAGGGCAAAAGAUACUGCAAAGCUAGAGUAUGACAGAGGCAAGUGGAACUACAUGUGUAGCGGUAAAAUGCGUAAAUAUAUGUAAGAACACCAGUGGCGAAGGCGGCUUGCUGGGUCGAUACUGACAUUGAGGCACGAAAGCGUGGGGAGCAAACAGGAUUAGAUACCCGAGUAGUC